AAUACGAAAUGGCAAACUUGCUGAAAAGCAAGGACGCAAAGCUAUGGGCCUACGGAAUUUGAUUCUAUGGCUGCCAGGCCGCCGAA
rfam:Domibacillus antri strain XD80 WGS_contig_53, whole genome shotgun sequence.